ensembl:lncRNA
GGGGCGGUGACAGAUGGAGAAUCAGUGUGUCAGAGAGGGAGAGAGAGGGAGGGAGAGAGGACGCACCGAGAGACAGCGAGAGCAAAGUGAGAGCGAGAGAAAGGGGUCGAGAGUGAGGGGGCCGGGAAGGAGACGGAGCGAGUGGUCCACACUUAAUACAUCCGCCGUCUUUGUGUCUCCGCGCUGGACCAGAGACGCCGGGUCUUUGUGUCUGUCGGAUGCUGAAGGUGUUGAUGGGGAUGGAGAGAGAACACAGCGGCUCUGCACUGCUCUACACCUGGACGCAAGAGCUGCACUGACGGAGGGGUCAGAGGAGUGAGAUAUGUAAAGAAGACCCAGCCGGCGCGAUUCCAGGUGGGAGUCCAGAUGUUGGGCCCGUGAGCCAGGUACUUAACCUACAUGCCUGUGUGUGUGUCUGCCACACUGGGACAUGGAGUCUAACGCUGUGGGACGUGGUAACCUAGAAGAAGCAGCGUGGUGAUGGGGGGGUUACAGAGAGGAGCGGCGACAGGAGGAGUGCUUUUACAAUCAAAGAGCCUUAUUGUCAAACUGUGGCUCUGGAUUUACAUAUAAAGGAAUAUGUUUGAAUGUGUUAUACUUAAAUGGAUAUCGCCUGCGGUCUGUAUCUGGUACCCGUGACUUCCCUCAGCUCCACCUGAAGCCCCCCCUCUGUGAGCGACGACAUUUCAAACCCCCGAAUGACUGACGGGUGAGCCGCGCCUGGUCCGGUCCGGCUGGUCGUCACGAGCAGUGAGACCAAAACUAAGCUCCUCACGCACAUUAGUGACGUGCCUCCGACCAGAGACGCAGACUGUCCUCAGCCAGGAGAACCUGAAGAUCCCCGCCGCAAGUAAUGGAAGAGCGGAGCGUGAAUCAUGAAUCCAUCAGAGUAAACGGAGCGAUGGAU